GGAAAUGGAUAAAGGGGUGAAUUUAACAUCUAUAAAUAUUAAUGGGUUAAAUGAUCCAGUUAAAAGAAAAAGAACAUUUGUUAAAUUA